UGCUGCUUCAGCACAUACACAGAAAAUAAAUUCAGAAGAUCUUGGUGUACCUGAAUAAGUUAUCAAUCUAUCAAGGUUGUUUUGACAUAAAACAAAAAAUCUAUCAGCAGAAGUGAGGAGUCAAAAAGCCCACCGUGCUCUGGAUGAAUGGGAUUCUGUUGAAGACCCUGACGUGGAGUUACACUGAGACUUCAGUUCUUUGCGAUGGUGGGACCAACUCCUGAGGGCUCACAGCUGGCCGCUUUUUGAUAUCCCAAGAAGGUGGCCUAGAAGAUGAGUACACCUUCGAGGCUCUGAAGUUUCGUAGACCUGUGGACCUGCUAAUUCUAAACCGGUGCUGCUGAUUGAAGCGUUGCGGGAGAGAACAGAACAUCAGGAUCAGUGGUUCAGCUGUUGCAGGCAGACUGUGUAUUUGGUGAGUUGAGCUCUCUCUCUCUCUCACUGGUGGGUGAAAGAUUGUUGCCAAUUUUCGGGACACAGAACUGGGAAAAUCAAGAGGCGCAACAGACUUUUAACACCAUAGACCAGUAAGUUGUUUUGUUAUGUCUCCCCUCUCGCUGUGAAAGAGGACACCUCUUUUUCCCUUUAUUAAGGAGAGAGAGAGAGAGAGAGAGAGAGAGAGAGCGAGCCUGUGGUACUUCAAGUUGUUGGGUGAAUGACUGGUUUUAUUGUACUGUAGACCCGCACGGUCUUUAUUGGGAACUUUCCUAUUGCAUGCUUGGUGGGCAGAGCGUGCUGAUGUUCUUUUACGGAAG